AUGGGCUUGAACGACAUCCUGGCGGCGCUCUACUCCUGCCUCCCGGAGACCCCGUCCUCUCCCGCCGCCUCCCUCACCGCCGCCACCUCCAACAACGGCGGGGAGGACCGCAUCAGCGCGCUCCCGGACGACAUCCUGCGCGGCGUCGUCUCCCGCCUCCCCGCCAAGGACGCCGCCCGCACCGCCGCGCUCUCCCCGCGCUGGCGCGGCCUCUGGCGCUCCACCCCGCUCGUCCUCGAGGACAGCCACCUCAUCCGGCCGGCGGGCCAGUGGGGCGGGUUCGAGUUCGACUCGAGCGCCCUCGCCGGCGCCGUCUCGCGCGUCCUCGCCUCCCACCCGGGCCCCUUCCGCUGGGUCCACAUCUCCAGCAACUUCAUGGCCGGCCAGGAGGAGGCGCUCGCCAAGUGGCUUCGCCUCCUGGUCGCCAAGGGCGUGGAGAGCCUCGUCCUCGUCAACCGCCCCUGGCCGCUCGACGUGGCGCUGCCGGCGUCCAUCCUCCGCUGCGCCUCGCUCCGCCGCCUCUACCUCGGCGUCUGGCACUUCCCGGACACGUCGCGCGCCAGCGCGCCCCCGCGCGGCCCCGGCGUCUUCCCCCGCCUCCAGGAGCUCGGCAUCUGCCACACCAUAAUGCAGGAGCGCGACCUGGAGUACCUGCUCGCCUGCAGCCCCGAGCUCAAGACCUUCGCGCUCAUCCUCAGCUACGCCGCCCCCUCGCUCGUCCCGAUCAGCAGCAGCAGCCUCUGCUGCGUGCUGGUCUGGCUGUCCAUGCCGUACGAGGUCGACGUCGUGGCCGCCCCACGGCUGCAGCGGCUCAUCCUGCAGAGCAUUGGAACGAUACACACCACCAAGGUCAAGAUUGGACAUGCUCCUGAGCUCACCGUGCUCGGCUACCUGGAGACGGCGAACCACGUGCUGCAGAUCGGCAACACCAUCAUCAAGGCUGGGGUAACAAAAGUGGCCCCAAAUGCUGUGGUUCCAAGUGUCAAGGUGCUAGCUUUGAAGGUGGAUUUCGGAGUAGCCGAGGAAGUGAAGACCCUGCUCAGCUUCUUGAGAUGCUUUCCCCAAGUCGAGACCCUGCACGUCAUGUCCUCCUCCAACAAGAACGAAGAGGAAGAGGAAGAGGAAGAGGAAGAGCAGGACGGCAAAGACGCGGGUGAUGGCAGUGGCGAGCAGCUCAUCAGCCCCAAGUUCUGGAAGGAGGCCGGCCCGAUCGGGUGCGUGGAGUCGCAAGUGAAGAAGGUGGUGCUUGAUAAGUUCACCGUGGGCGCCAACGAGCUGGGAUUCCUCAAGUUCGUGAUGGCGAGAGCGCAGGUGCUGAAGAGGGUGGUGCUGGUGCUGGACCCCGGGAUGAGCCCCACGGCGGCGAAGGAGGCAUUGAGCAAGCUGGCGUCUCAGGUGCCGUCCGCCAAGUGUGCCAGUGAGAACGUGGAGUUCAUGGGGCUCCCGCGUCCAAUGGCUGCUUGGAGCUACCAGAUCGCGUCUGAUCUCUCUCUGAGUGACCCGUUUCCGGCUGAAGGCGGUAUAUUGGUGGAGCGUCCGUGA
rnacentral:rRNA from 1 species